GCCUGAGUGGCUCAAUUGGUUGAGUGUUUGACUUUGGCUCAGGUCAUGAUCUCGGGGUUUGUGAGUUCGAGCCCCACGUCAGGUU
rnacentral:tRNA from 1 species